rnacentral:rRNA from 1 species
UAGAGUUUGAUCAUGGCUCAGAUUGAACGCUGGCGGCAGGCUUAACACAUGCAAGUCGAGCGGUAGCACAGGGGAGCUUGCUCUCUGGGUGACGAGCGGCGGACGGGUGAGUAAUGUCUGGGAAACUGCUUGAUGGAGGGGGAUAACUACUGGAAACGGUAGCUAAUACCGCAUAACGUCGCAAGACCAAAGAGGGGGACCUUCGGGCCUCUUGCCAUCAGAUGUGCCCAGAUGGGAUUAGCUAGUAGGUGGGGUAAUGGCUCACCUAGGCGACGAUCCCUAGCUGGUCUGAGAGGAUGACCAGCCACACUGGAACUGAGACACGGUCCAGACUCCUACGGGAGGCAGCAGUGGGGAAUAUUGCACAAUGGGCGCAAGCCUGAUGCAGCCAUGCCGCGUGUGUGAAGAAGGCCUUCGGGUUGUAAAGCACUUUCAGCGAGGAGGAAGGUGGUGAGCUUAAUACGCUCAUCAAUUGACGUUACUCGCAGAAGAAGCACCGGCUAACUCCGUGCCAGCAGCCGCGGUAAUACGGAGGGUGCAAGCGUUAAUCGGAAUUACUGGGCGUAAAGCGCACGCAGGCGGUUUGUUAAGUCAGAUGUGAAAUCCCCGGGCUCAACCUGGGAACUGCAUUUGAAACUGGCAAGCUAGAGUCUCGUAGAGGGGGGUAGAAUUCCAGGUGUAGCGGUGAAAUGCGUAGAGAUCGGAGGAAUACCGGUGGCGAAGGCGGCCCCCUGGACGAAGCACUGACGCUCAGGUGCGAAAGC